ACACUCCUACGGGAGGCAGCAGUGGGGAAUAUUGGACAAUGGGCGCAAGCCUGAUCCAGCCAUGCCGCGUGAGUGAUGAAGGCCCUAGGGUUGUAAAGCUCUUUCACCGGUGAAGAUAAUGACGGUAACCGGAGAAGAAGCCCCGGCUAACUUCGUGCCAGCAGCCGCGGUAAUACGAAGGGGGCUAGCGUUGUUCGGAUUUACUGGGCGUAAAGCGCACGUAGGCGGACUAUUAAGUCAGGGGUGAAAUCCCGGGGCUCAACCCCGGAACUGCCUUUGAUACUGGUAGUCUUGAGUUCGAGAGAGGUGAGUGGAAUUCCGAGUGUAGAGGUGAAAUUCGUAGAUAUUCGGAGGAACACCAGUGGCGAAGGCGGCUCACUGGCUCGAUACUGACGCUGAGGUGCGAAAGCGUGGGGAGCAAACAGGAUUAGAUACCCGAGUAGUCC
rnacentral:rRNA from 1 species